rnacentral:misc_RNA from 1 species
AAUUCUGGGUUCGUCCUCCGUCAGCCGGUCUCGACGAUUGGACCUACUGGUUGCGUCGUAAUGUGGAUGGGACAUGGCACUCGCAUUCGUCACCCAUUGCUCUCGCCAAAGCGAUGGUGCGCGUCGCCGCACUCGGCCGAAGGGGGAGCAUCGACGGACAGGCCAUUGACUGGCAGUGGAUUCCGUCUGCCGCGGACCUUCUCGACGAUUCGGCGGUAGGCAGUGUGUUCCUUCGCAUCGAGCUGUUGUACUCGCCCCAGCUCUCCUUCGCCGAAACCCACCCGAUCGACCGCAUUGUCGAAUUCGAUCGCCGGUUGUGGGGCGCAGAUUUACUGAAACCAUUCCG